GACCCCAGGUCAGGCGGGAUCACCCGCUGAGUUUAAGCAUAUCAAUAAGCGGAGGAAAAGAAACUUACCAGGAUUCCCCUAGUAACGGCGAGCG
rnacentral:rRNA from 8 species